AUGAUCUGGGUUCUUCUAGUUCUGUUCUCCUCCGUGUCCUACGUGCAUGGUGACAUCAGCCUGACCUCCUCUCCUGCUCAGGCUAAACCUCCUGGAGAUUCAGUGAAGCUGUCCUGCCAGGUUUCUGGCUAUAAGCUCACCGACUACGGUACAGGCUGGAUCAGACAGCGUCCAGGGAAAGCCAUGGAGUGGAUCGGGAUCAUAUGGGGUGGUGGAAGCAUAGCUUCUGGAGAUUCCUUCAAGUCUCGCUUCAGCAUCUCCAGAGACACGAACAACAACGUUUUGUUCUUAGAUAUCAGCAACCUGGUGCUUGAAGACGCGGCUGUUUAUUACUGUGCAAAGACUCACAGCUGUAGAAGUCAGUAG